rnacentral:rRNA from 1 species
GAUGAACGCUGGCGGUGUGCCUAAUACAUGCAAGUCGAGCGAACGGACGAGAAGCUCGUGCUUCUGCUGUUAGCGGCGGACGGGUGAGUAACACGUGGAUCACCUUCUUCUAUGACUUGGAUGAUUUCGGGAAACAGCAGCUGAUACUGGAUAAUACUAUCUACCGCUUGGAGCAAAAGUGAUAGAGGCUUUUGCUGUUACUAAUAGCUGGUUCCGGGUUGCAUUAGCUAGUUGGUAAGGUAACGGCUUACCAAGGCAACGAUGCAUAGCCGACCUGAGAGGGUGAUCAGCCACACUGGAACUGAGACACGGUCCAGACUCCUACGGGAGGCAGCAGUAGGGAAUCUUCCGCAAUGGGCGAAAGCCUGACGGAGCAACGCCGCGUGAGUGAUGAAGGUCUUCGGAUCGUAAAACUCUGUUAUUAGGGAAGAACAUAUGUAUAAGUAACUCUGCACAUCUUGACGGUACCUAAUCAGAAAGCCACGGCUAACUACGUG